AGAUGACGAGAGUGUGGAGGGAGAGGAGAAGAGAGGAGAUGAAGGAGAGAGAAGGGCAAGAGAGAAGAGAAAAGGUGAUGGAGAGGAAAGUAGGGAGGAAAGGAGGAAAGGGGAGGAAAAUAGUGAAGAGUAAGAGAGGGAGAAUAGAGGGAAGAAAGGAGAGGAAAAAAUAGGACAGGAGAGGAAAGGGGAGAGGAGGAAAAGGCUAGGAAAGGAGAGAGGAGAGAAAACAAAAAUGGAGAGAAAGUGAGGAGAGACAAGGAGGGGAGGAGAGAAAUGAAGGUUAAGAGAGGAGGAAACAACAAGGAUGGAGAGAAAGAGAGAGAGAGAGAGAGGAGAGGAGAGGCAGGGAGAGGGAUGGAGGGUAAGAGAGGAAAGAAGUCUAAAGAAGGGGAGGAGAAAACAGGACUGGAGGUUAAGAUACGAGAGAUAAGUCAGUUUAGGGGAGAAGGAAGGAGGGAAGGAGAGGAGGGAGAGCGAGGCAGGACAAACGAGUGAACAGGGAAAGCAUAAUGUGUGUUGCCCUAGGACGAGGAGGGUGUGAUGGGCGCCUGAUACGUGCCCAGGAAAGGUGUUAAGAAAGGUAAGUAUAGACGGUGGUGGGAUCUGAAUCUAUUGGAGUUCGUGAGAGAGAAUCCUUUAGACGUGUGGUUAAGGGGAUCGAAGAGUGUUUAGAAGGACAUUAGAAAGAAUUUGAGGGAUACUUCUUGAAAAAUUAUAAGUAGAGGAGGUGAGUCUCAAUGGUGGGAUCUGAAUACAUUGGAGUUCGUGAGAGAGAAUCCUUUAGACGUGUGGUUAAGGGGAUCGGAGUGUUUAGAAGGAUAUUAAAAAGAAUUUGAGGGAUACUUCUUGAAAAAUUAAUAUGUAAAAGAGGUGAGUCUCAAUGGAUGGUGUUGGGAUCUGAAUACAUUGGAGUUCGUGAAAGAGAAUCCUAUCAGACUUGUAGUAAGGGAGGUCAAAGAGUGUUAAGAGAGAUGUUAGUAAGGAUGUGAUUGGAACUUGUUGAAAAAUUAAUCUUACUUUCUCUGGGCAGUGUUGGGAUCUGAAUACAUUGUAGGAGUUUGUAAAUUCAUCCAUAAGCUGUUCGUUGUAAUAUAUUCGUAAUCCUACCGAACGUUAAGUUAAGUAAGCAGAAAGAACGUUAAGUAGGAUGUGAUGAAAACUUAGUGGAGGAUGAAUAUAUAAGAGAGGAGCUUAAAUUACAUAGACAGUGACGGAGUUUAUCAUCAUCAUGUCAGGCUGUGAGGGACUUAUGUUGAGGGCGUGUGAAGAAUACAUAUUGCGCUGUGCUUUUUUUUUAUGGCAACACGGCGUAAAGUGAGAUCAUGAAGAGAGUGAUAGCGAAUAUAUUAACCCGUCCGCUGCGAUUGGCAUGGAUUUCGCCUUCACUGGUAGCCUGGUAACAUACACUCCCAGGUCUUUCUCUGCCUCUGUGGUGGAUAGUGGAGUGUUUCCCAUGUGGUAUUGGUGUGCUGGAUAUCCCUUCACUGGUAGCCUGGUAACAUACACUCCCAGGUCUUUCUCUGCCUCUGUGGUGGAUAGUGGAGUGUUUCCCAUGUGGUAUUGGUGUGCUGGAUAUCCCUUCACUGGUAGCCUGGUAACAUACACUCCCAGGUCUUUUUCUGCCUCUGUGGUGGAUAGUGGAGUGUUUCCCAUGUGGUAUUGGUGUGCUGGAUAUCCCUUCACUGGUAGCCUGGUAACAUACACUCCCAGGUCUUUUUCUGCCUCUGUGGUGGAUAGUGGAGUGUUUCCCAUGUGGUAUUGGUGUGCUGGAUAUCCCUUCACUGGUAGCCUGGUAACAUACACUCCCAGGUCUUUCUCUGCCUCUGUGGUGGAUAGUGGAGUGUUUCCCAUGUGGUAUUGGUGUGCUGGAUAUCCCUUCACUGGUAGCCUGGUAAUAUACACUCCCAGGUCUUUCUCUGCCUCUGUGGUGGAUAGUGGAGUGUUUCCCAGGUGGUAUUGGUGUGCUGGAUAUCCCCUCCCAAAGUACAGGACUUCUCAUUUUUCUUCAUUGAAUUGUAGCAGCCACUUUUUGUUCCACUCCUGUAGCUUGGUGAUGUCUACUUGUAGGAAAUAUGCAGUCAAGGGGUUGAUAAUUCAAAAUAUACGGGUUUGUUAGAUAAAAUUAUGUAGUUUGUGUGUGAUAUAUGAUGCAGGUUUUAGUACACAGCAGACCAAAAAAAAACAAUUACAUGUG